GCCCAAGCAACUCCUAUCCCUACCUCCUUGCGGUACUGGCCGGGGUACGAGUAACCUUAGGGAAGAUCGGGUAACCAACCCCCGGUGGGAACUUUGGUCGUAUGCUGACAGGGAAGG
rnacentral:ribozyme from 1 species